rnacentral:tRNA from 1 species
GGAGAGAUGGCUCAGUGAUUAAGAGCACUGGAUGCUCUCUCUUCCAAAGGACCUGGGUUCAAUUCCCAGCUACCACA